rnacentral:rRNA from 1 species
AAACCAACUGGGAUUCCCUUAGUAAGGGCGACUGAAACGGGAAGAGCUCAUCCCUGAAUCCGGGUGGAAAACCAUUACGGAAUUGUAGGGUAAAGACUUUGCUUAAGGUAUUUGUGGAUAUGUGCAAGCAUCUGGAAAGGUGAGCCAUAGAGGGUGAUAGCCCCGUAAUGCAUAUCUACUGUGCUUAAAGCAGGUUUUAAAGAGUCGCGUUGUUUGUGAGUACAGCGCUAAGCAGGAGGUAAAUCACUUCUAAAGCUAAAUAUAACCUAGAGACCGAUAGUGAACAAGUACCGUGAGGGAAAGAUCAAAAGAACUCUGAAAAGAGAGUUAAAAGAACGUGAAAUUGUUGUUGGGGAAGCGGUUGUAUAUGCCUCCACUUGCGGUCGGGGUGUACGGUUAUGUUUAAAUGGGUAACAUGAUUUUUGAUCUGGCCGUUAAAUCGGUUAGUGAUUGAGUUGUGUCCUGUUUUCAUGAUUUAUGCAUCAACGAUCAACAUCGAGUAACCAGUAUGCACCGGAAACCUGUUAAUAUAUGCGAGGGUAGCCGACUUACGGUCUAGUCAAUCGUGGGGGGUCCUUGUGUUGAAUCAGUGUUAAAGGUGCUGGGAUAAAAACUUAUCAGUAUAUUUGGGUGUUUGGUGACCUUAGGUGAUCCUUACAUUUGGGUAUAUUGGGAUACUGGUAUGAGGACACCAACCGUC